GACGAACGCUGGCGGCGUGCCUAAUACAUGCAAGUAGAACGCUGAAGAGAGGAGCUUGCUCUUCUUGGAUGAGUUGCGAACGGGUGAGUAACGCGUAGGUAACCUGCCUUGUAGCGGGGGAUAACUAUUGGAAACGAUAGCUAAUACCGCAUAACAAUGGAUGACCCAUGUCAUUUAUUUGAAAGGGGCAAAUGCUCCACUACAAGAUGGACCUGCGUUGUAUUAGCUAGUAGGUGAGGUAACGGCUCACCUAGGCGACGAUGCAUAGCCGACCUGAGAGGGUGAGCGGCCAAACUGGGACUGAGAAACGGCCCAGACUCCUACGGGAGGGAGCAGUAGGGAAUCUUCGGCAAUGGGGGGAACCCUGACCGAGCAACGCCGCGGGAGUGAAGAAGGGUUUCGGAUCGUAAAGCUCUGUUGUAAGUCAAGAACGAGUGUGAGAGUGGAAAGUUCACACUGUGACGGUAGCUUACCAGAAAGGGACGGCUAACUACGUG
rnacentral:rRNA from 1 species